GUAAAUAACCACUAUACAGUUAGACAUCAUUCAUUACCAAAACUGUCUGUUAAUUUACCCCCCCCCCCCCCCAUGAGAUCUGAGGUGCAAAUUUUGUUUUAAUGUUAAUGGCUUGUUUAAGUGAUGUCUUCUGUCCCUCUGUCGUGCAUGGUUUCUCAAAACCCCAACCAAUUAACCAAAAACCUCAAAAUCCACUCGCUUCGUAGCAGACUUCGCUAGACGAACUCGCUAGCAUAGGAAAAAUCUGCUCGAAAUUAGCGAUUUUCGCUAUUUAUCGAUGUAAACAAACCGAGAGGUGAGAGAGAGAGAGAGAGAGAGAGCUGGCUGUUGUGUUUUUAUUCCUAUAAUUAACAUUAUUUCUGUGAUUUUUUGUCUACGAAUUAAAUCAAGACGAGUGAGAGAAACGAUGCCGACAGACGACGAGUUAUCAAAGCUGGCGGAGGAGGCUUUACUGCGAGAAGCGAAGAGAGGAGCACAAAGGGCUGAAACUUGUGGACCAUCGGGAUGGUUGAAAAAUAGACUUCCUUCAACAAAUAAAACCUUCCUUCAUAACACAAUUUUAGGGGCACUGGCAUCCAACAAAGCUAAAGAGAGGAAGGAAAAAAGUCAGAGUGAGCGAGCAAAGAGAAAGAGGGAGCAAGAAGAAAAGGAGAGGAACACAUAUAAAAGACUUUACAUACAUGCAAGCACCAAGGCAAAAGCUUCACUUGCAAACACAAGCAGAAAAGCUGCACAGAAUGAAGAAGGCAGCAGAGAACCCAGAGAUAAAAAUAAAAAGGAAAAGUUGAUGAUAUGGAGUGAAAAUGGCUUGGAAAUUUCAUCAAGCAACAGAGGCACAGAAAAGAAGAAAUCAAAAGACAGUAAGAUCGCUAUAAAUGACGUCUCGUCAAAGAAGGACAGAUCGAAAAUAUUAUCGAGAAAUAUCAAUUUUGUCUCAAGUACUUUGGAGGAUGAGACUGAAACAUAGUGAAUAUGAAACCUUGUGAAUGCCCUUUCCCAUAUACAAAAUAUUUUUAAUAUAUAAAUAAAUUUUCUACCAUUAUCCAUUAGUGAAUAGAAAUGUUUUUUCAAAGUGUAACAGGGAAUAAAAUCAAGUAAACAGAUUGAAACAUAUUUUUGAAAUGAUUGCACAUACAUUUUUUGGAGAAUUUUAUGUGUGCAAAGAACCAAGAUUAAGGUGGUACAUGAGGAAAAACUGGCUCAGGAAUAACCCCAGUCUUCAAACCUUCACGAUCUGGAGUCGUGUAAAACUGCAAUGUCCAGAAAGCUCAAGUGGUCCGCCAUUAGCACAAAAACUGCAGCGAGCCAGACAGACGUGUUCCUAACUCUCAGAAGAGGAUUUAUUUAUUCAGUAAAGGCUGGGCAAGUGUGCACAAAAACCCAUAUUACGCUUGUCUGAGAUGAUCUUCCUAAAGCACACAAUAGCAAAGGUAGUCCAGUUACCUAAGCUACAAGUGCUUAUUACCUUUGGACAUCAAACCUUGGAAACCAGUAAGCAUUUUCUGAUUGCUCAAAUGCUACUCAGGGUAUAUACAAUGCGAGUACCCAGGUUAAUAAUAACAUAUAUCAGGAGCCAGUGAAGUUACCAACAGGCAGUGCUUUAACCUUGGAGAUCAGGGAUUGCUUUUGUGAAGUGCAUGGCCUGCAUGGAUGUUACAGUCAUCCAAGCCUUUAGGGACUAGUGUAAAUUAUACAAGCAUAGGAAGGGAUAUUAUUCAGUUAAAGCCAGAUUGUGUAAGGACUCUAAUGAAAUCAUCCCUGCCAAGCACUAGAAAGGGAGAAAAUUAAAGGAAGACAUUCCCUAAGACAGAAAAACCUGCUAUUGUUAAUAAUAUGCAUUUUUAAAGUUUCACAAUAAAUGGACCAAAGCUGAAGAAUACUAGAGACCACUGCAUGCACUAUGUGGGAGAUUCAAAGAAAAUUCAAUGAAAUUUGAUGCUAGGGGAACCACCAGCAAGGGCUGAACCAAAUUGUGUCCCUCAAGUUCAGUUCCUAGCAGCUGAUAGAUGAAACAGUACACAUGAUGGUCUUCACACGAGUCCCUAUUGAGAGCUCCAACUAGCACACACACCAAAUGCUCAUACCCAUAAACUGCACACCAGUUUUCAUGCCCACAAAGCCGUCAAAAGAGGUUUGUUAGCCUUCUCAAGAGGUGCCUUGCCUUCCUGGUGAAAAGGAUGCAGAUGGGACUCUACAGCACUAAAGAGAUCACUAUCACCACUGCUGUCCUUCACAGCAUGGUCAUUCAGCCGAAUGUUUCCCCUGCUCCAGGGAAUAGAUGGCCAACACUCCGAUGGGAAAGCAGUAAUGAUAUCUCAAAUUUAACCUACUAGCUAUGGAUGGCAUGACAUACAUGCUGUGUCCAUUGCAAUUUUAGUUUAUUUAUGUGUUUACACAUAAUAAACCUACUUCAAUCAGUGAUCAAGAUCUCAAAGGAACACUUGCAACUGCAUGAAGUUUCUUGCCACUUGGUGACAGCUGCUGGAACAUCAGCAACAGAAUUGCUGCUUUGCAUGAGAGACAUACAAGGUCAUUGGUCACCUCUCCUCAAUACUGAACUGUCUGUCCUUGAUGAUGUGUUUACAUACAGAUGGUUCCACAAUUGCUUAGUCACCAAGGACUCAGUUGUCAAUCUUACCUAUCUCACCCGUUUACCCUUUUCUGUAUUUUUUAAUUGUUGUUAGUAUUUUAAUAUCAUGAUAAUAAUCAUCAUGUUAAAAAUAACAAUAAUAUUAUCGCUGUUAAAAGUGUUGGAAAAAAAACCCUGAGACAUGGUCACUAGGGCCUAAUUGACUUUAUGGUAGCAGAGUACUUGUGGAGCCAUCUGUGAGCAACUAAAUUCACCAAAAAACUACAGUGGACAGUACAUGUACCUGUGGUUGAUGGGUUAAGCCCAGGAAAAGAACCCUUAUCAGGGAGGAGAGGAAUUCUGAGAGAGAAACUAUUGGUACCAAAUUUUUUCUAGAUUCACGUCCAAGUAUAGUGUGUUAUUUGUGGCGGUGCUGUACUGUGCCACUACAUGAUUUUGAAUUCUUUACUGAGUAUUAUUUUGUACUGAGUUUGAAUACUGACAUGUUUUAUAUAAGGAUUGUUAUCUAAUACUUAAUUCUUUUAUACAUUUAUAACAUACUCUAAUUUAAAGUUUUAUUACUAUCACAACAUAAUAAAUUGAUAUGAAGAAACAAAAACUUGUCUGCUUGUAUUCAACUGCAUAUUUGGUCAUAGAAACAACUGGCUUAUAAUAAAAUGACAAAAAUAUAAAUUAUUGAAUGUACGUGUUCCUUUCCUGCAUUCCUUUAGUAUUAACAGAGUCUUGUGAUUUGUUAAUAGCAGUUAAGGUGUAUAUAUAUUUAAAGCCCUGU
rnacentral:lncRNA from 1 species